rnacentral:rRNA from 1 species
CACCGCGGUUAUACGAGAGGCCCAAGUUGAUAGAUGCCGGCGUAAAAUGUGGUUUAUAUACUAAUUUACUAAAGCUAAACACCUUCAAAGCUGUUAUACGCUUAUGAAGAAAGGAAACUCUCUUACGAAAGUAGCUUUAAAUAAUAUUUUACCACGAAAGUUAGGAAA